AUGCCAAAACCCUCUGAUGUGAUGAUAACCACGCCAGUAUACCAGCAACAGCAGUAUGAAAUCUCCAAGUUCCUGAAGACCAAGCCACUGGCUCUGGGGAUUUUGGUAGUACUGAUAGCCUUAUUGGCACUCGGUUUGACGCUCCAUAAUGAGAGUUUUCAUCUUCUCUGGUCACCAAUCAUUUCCACUAUAAUUGGAGCCAUAACAGUCUUGGCUGCAUACACACGUAAACCACGUCUGGUCAAUAUCUCACAAAAGCUCAGCUAUGUACAUUUUGCAAUAGCUGCUUUCUCCCUCCAAACUCACAUUCUUUUUGUUUUGUCAACCCCUGUCAUGGUCAGUUAUGUGACCACAGAUGUGCCUGUCAACCGCAUCAUGCUAAUGGGUCAGCCGGACUCUUCUGCAGUGGUACAGUCCGUUAGUUCAGUCAUGUACAUGCUGCCAGCAGCACAUGGCUUAGUAACACCUGCUCCUCUGCCAAAUUGUGGUCUUUUCCCAAAUGCAUCUCCACCAAUCUACAGUCCAGUGCCAACUACACCUCCACCCAGCUACGAUAAACUCUCAGAUGCACCACCACCAAACUAUGGUCCAGUUGCAAGAACACCUCCACCAGCAUAUGAGUAUGAAGAUUUACAGACCAGAAGAUGAACUAGAUCUCAGACGCAAAUUGAAAUGUUUGAAGUUUACACAAUUUAUGGUGUUGGAUUAUGGCGAAUGUAAAACCAAAACUGAUACUUGUGUAAAUCAAAUGGAUGAGAAACACGCAUCAGAGUCCUUUGUUUCGAUCGUUUUGUUUUCACCCAAAUGUAUAAUGUUCUGUUGGAUAUGAUUAUACAUAAUACAUUGUUUUUUGUUUGUCAGUUUUCUUAAUUUAUGUGCAGUUUUUUUGUAAUUCAACACAGUAGGCAGCACAAUGGAAAUUUCACUUGAUUAAUUCAGCCCAGCAUUUACAGACUGAGACUUAGCCUUUAAAAUCCUAGCAAACAGUGUUCAGUGUGUACUUUUAAAGAAAAAAAUGUUUAAAUUUGUAUCACUCAAACAAGUGGUUUGCACAAUCAAGUCAUAAAUUGACUAUUCAUUAACCUCAGCAGCUCUAUUAUUCAGUUAAUAAAAUCAGUAAAAAUGUACUGUAACUAAAUUAU
ensembl:lncRNA